rnacentral:lncRNA from 1 species
GUUUAAGUUAGUGGGCAGGUAGAAAAAUCCGCUGGUACUGUAAUAGAGGGUAAUGUCACUUUAAGACAUGUGAUACUUUACCGAGCAGGGAUGUAUCGAAACAGACUACUGAUACUUCAGGGCACCGUCUAGCAGCAGUCCAGCUCUCUCGGAACAGAGCGAGUUGCCUGAUUGCACUGAAGGCAGGGGAACAGGGAUGGUCCCUCAUUAAGACGAAACUGAUUUUCAUCUGCAAGUACCCCGGGAACUAUACAUUACCUCAAGAUCCCUCCAAAGGGCUCAUCGCACAGAGGGACCACUAGCAGAUGAUUUAAAGGUGAAGAUGACAAGGUUUCCACCCCUCAAACCUUGGCUACUUUUCUGACAACGCGAUCUGAGCUCUGAUGUCUUCUUUAUUCUGGAAAUAGGAUUGAUAACAAGAAAAAGAAAGAAAGAAAUCGCUCUCCUUUUUUAAUCCCGAUAAAGAAGAUUAUUGAAAACCUCUGAUUGUGGUCCCUACACAUGGAUUUUAAAAAGUGUUAGAUCUUUCCAAUGAACACUAAUAGAGCAUUCUGCUCCUGGUUGGAUUACUCAGAGUAUGGCUAUGGUCUCUGCAAUGUCCUGGGUCCUGUAUUUGUGGAUAAGUGCUUGUGCAAUGCUCCUCUGUCAGGGAUCUCUUCAUCACACUUUCCAACAGCAUCACCUGCACAGACCAGGCAGCUUCCCCCAGUCCUCCAUGAGUAAGAUUGAUGGUGUUCUGGUCCUGAGCAGCCAAUUUCAGUCUCUCAAGAAAUAAUCCACUACAUUGACAGAUGAGUGGAAUUUGACGGCAUGUUCACCUCAUUCAGAUUGCUCCGCACCUGGAUGGCACCAGUGCGGGAGGCUCCUUUAGGGGAAACUAUUAGGUAUUUUGGACAAUUUCUACUGUCUUACCAUGAAAUCAAGACAAUAUGGUUAUAUGUAUCUUUAUGUAUAUAUUUAUGAACAUAAUAAUAAUUACAUAUUCAAAUCUAUACAUCCAUACACGAAUUUGCUAGCUGUCUCCUCCAUGGAAUGGGUUCGUACACAAAAGGAAGGAAAAUACGUUAACUAGAGAACUGACUGAUUUUAAUGUAUUCGGCUGCAGUCUCUAAGUACUUUCUAUUUUUCAUAUUUAUGUUAUUAGGAAUGCGCCAUUUACUUCCAGUUACUCACUGUUUAAGGGAGAUU